UUGUAAUAGUAUGUUUUUUGGUUUAAUAGUCGGCUUUAAGUUAGUUUUUCUGUCAGUUUGAUCGUCAAAAUCUUGAAAGUUAUCUGCAGCCACACAUCCACUGUAUACCAAGUUAUGAUGAACAAUUAUGAAAAUGCAAAAGGAUUGAUAGAUCAGUAAACAAGCAACAAAAAGCUUUACAAAAAAUGUAGAAUUUGUAGGAGCGCAUGGACAUCUGAGUAACAAAGUCAUAUUAUGCAGAUGGGUGCUCAUGGUGGCCUCCAAAUAAAUACAUGGACAGGCUGCUAAAGAGGGUCAGGAUGAUGGAGAUGCAAGAGCCAAAGACAGCACAGACCAAACACCAGGCCAGAAUUCUGCAUGAGUCAGAUUGAGUAAUUUUCACUCUAGAGACCCUUGGGUGACCACCAAGGACGAAUGCAAACUCCAGUGAGUGUCUCUAAGGUAGAUCCUAAUGCAGAUGGAUGGAAUGUUGAUCCGCCUAACAUGCAAGCUACAGAGGGCAUCCUUUAUUCAGUCCCUAAUGCAGAUGGUUGGAGUGUUGAUCUACCUAACAUGAGGGGUAAAAGAGCGUUUGUUAGCAUAAUGAGAAAGAAAACAGAAACACAUUAUUAGUGGCAUUUAAAAACAUAACACUUGUUUAUACUACAUUUUAUGUUCAAUCCAUAGAGCACUCGUUUUGAGUCCUGAGACCCUGGGGUGACCACCGUGAACAAAUACAGAAGCACUCAAUUUGAGUCCUGAGACCCUGGGGUGACCACCGUGAACAAAUACAGACUGCAAUAGCAGUCUUGACGGUACUAGGAUGAAUGCAAAUAAAGACUAACCACCUGACAUCAGCUGUCCAGUCUCUUGUGGGAAGCAGGUGCUUGUUACCCCAAAUACGGAUGAAGAGUGACGAAGAGGAUGAUGACUUU